rnacentral:rRNA from 1 species
UCACCUAACAGCUAGCCCGUUAUUAAAAUACAACAAUUCAAUAUAAAUUAACCCCAAAUACACUAAAAUCAAAUAAACAAAUCAUUUUUCCACCUUAGUAUGGGCGACAGAAAAGGUAAGUAGGAGCAAUAGAGAAAGUACCGCAAGGGAACGCUGAAAGAGAAAUGAAAUAAAUCAGUAAAGUAUAAAAAAGCAGAGAUUAACACUCGUACCUUUUGCAUCAUGAUUUAGCAAGAAAUUAUCAAGCAAAGAGCACUUUAGUUUGACUCCCCGAAACUAAGUGAGCUACUCCAAGUCAGCCUAUUAAUAGGGCAAACCCGUCUCUGUAGCAAAAGGGUGGGAAGAACUUAGAGUAGAGGUGAUAGACCUACCGAACUUAGUUAUAGCUGGUUGCUUGGGAAAUGAAUAGAAGUUCAGCCUUUCAAUUUCUCAUUUCCUAAAUGCCUCCGCUAACAAUGAUUUAAAAGAAAUUGAAAGAGUUAGUUAAAGGGGGUACAGCCCCUUUAAAUCAAGAUACAACUUUUUAAGAUGGGUAAAGAUCAUAUUCUUUAAGGCAAAAUGUUUUAGUGGGCCUAAAAGCAGCCAUCUAAAGAAAGCGUUAAAGCUCAGACAUUAAAUCUUAAUCCUUUAAUACCGAUAAAUUAUCUCACCCCACUUAGCCUACCAAGCCACCCCAUGCCUCCAUGGGGGUGAUUAUGCUAAUAUGAGUAAUAAGAAAAAUAAUUUCUCCUUGCACAUGUGUACAUCGGAACGGACCCCCCACCGAAAAUUAUACGGCCCCAAACCAAGAGGGUAAUGAAAUAAUAAAAUAAACAACAAGAAAUACUACCAAAUACCCACCGUUAACCCCACACAGGAGUGCUUCAAAGGAAAGACUAAAAGAAAAAGAAGGAACUCGGCAAACACAAGCCUCGCCUGUUUACCAAAAACAUCGCCUCUUGCAAGUAAUGAAUAAGAGGUCCCGCCUGCCCUGUGACAAAAGUUUAACGGCCGCGGUAUUUUGACCGUGCAAAGGUAGCGUAAUCACUUGUCUUUUAAAUGAAGACCUGUAUGAAUGGCAUAACGAGGGCUUAACUGUCUCCUUUUUCUGGUCAAUGAAAUUGAUCUCUCCGUGCAGAAGCGGGGAUAAUUACAUAAGACGAGAAGACCCUAUGGAGCUUUAGACACCAAAGCAGAUCUUGUUAAAUACCCAAAAUAAAGGAUAAUAAACCAAAAGUUAAACCUGCCCUAUUGUCUUUGGUUGGGGCGACCGUGGGGAAAUAAAAAUCCCCCAUGCGGACUGAGAAUAAUAGUUCUUAAAAACAAGAGCCACAGCUCUAGUUAACAGAAAUUCUGACCUUUAGAUCCGGCAAUGCCGAUCAACGGACCGAGUUACCCUAGGGAUAACAGCGCAAUCCUCUUUUAGAGCCCAUAUCGACAAGAGGGUUUACGACCUCGAUGUUGGAUCAGGACAUCCUAAUGGUGCAGCCGCUAUUAAGGGUUCGUUUGUUCAACGAUUAAAGUCCUACGUGAUCUGAGUUCAGACCGGAGUAAUCCAGGUCAGUUUCUAUCUAUGAAAUGAUCUUUUCUAGUACGAAAGGACCGAAAAGAAGAGGCCUAUGCUUUAAGCAAGCCUCACCCCCACCUAAUGAAAACAACUAAAUUAGGCAUAAGGGCAUACCCCUUAUGUCUAAGAAAAUGACAU